GGGCAAAGUCAUCCAUCCUUUAGUUGCCAAUUUAAAGGAAUAGUAGAAGUAAUACCGAUUUGAUGGCCCAAAACAAGCAGAUCAUUGUUGUGGUGGCUCUCCUUUUUCUUGUGGUGGCAACAUCAUCAUCAGUGUGGGUUGCAGAAGGAGCCGAUGACUUAAAAGUUGCUUGCGUUAAGGAGUGCACCCAAAAUUUUAACACUCCCGAGGGAAAGAAGAUCUGUGAAACGAUGUGUGCCAACCCUAAAGGAAGGCCUAUCGAUAGAGUUAGAGCUGAUUGAUCAAUGCUCAUCUUUAUUUGUAGCUAGCUAUCAUGCAUGCAAUGAUGGCCUUCUUGAUUAUUAUUAUUUCAUUCCUCAUGUUGUUUGUUCUUGCAUGUUUUUUCCACCACUAAUAUUGUCCUAAUUGAUGCAUACAUGUUGUCACUCAAAGCAUUUUCUAUGCUUUACUUAUUGGUUAAAUAAAUACAAAGGCUUCCUUUUACCUAUGAGCUAUGUUUAGUUCAUCGUACAUGUAUUUCAUUGGAAGAGGUGAUGUGGAGUCAACAAGAUCCUAUAUGGUGGGUAACACAUGUCAGUUCAAGUGAUGAGUUACCCAACAAGUUUUAUGAGUACUAGACGAGUGCUAUCCCUAGUCAACCGUCCUUGGGAAGUACAGAGAUCCGAAAGAAAAGAUAUACAAUAGUUUCUGCUAUACUUUGUAGUAUAUGUAAGUCUUGUUGUAACUAUUUUAUUUACAUAAGAAAGCAUUGUAUUUGAUUUCCUCCAUAUUUGUCACUAUAUGUGUUGUGUGGGCAUCCAAAGCAUUAGUUAUUGCUUGGUAUUAUUCAAAAAAAUGGAUGUAAUAAAUUGCU
rnacentral:lncRNA from 7 species